AUCAGCCUUUUGAGCGUGAUUAUGUGGAGCGUGAGGAGUUAAACGCCUUCAUGCCUUCAUAUUCGUGCACUUUGGGUGUACUUGCUCGUGUGGUAGGUUAACAUCAAUUUUCAUCAUCAUAAAAUGGUUGGAGGAAUGUAGCUUCGAUCUCGUAUUGAAGUGUUAUAGCCUUUAGCAGAUGUGAUGAUUGGGAUUGAGGAUUGCAACGGAUACCCUUCGGGGCUACCCGUCUGAUCUCUGAAAGUUACUCUGGUGCCGAAAGCUUGCUUACGGUAUCAAAGUUAACGUUCAACAGGUUAGAACGGGUUAAAUUCGUUAAGGAUGUUGACGUAAUGGCUUU
rnacentral:rRNA from 1 species